GUUGGAGUUGUUGUAACAUAGGUGUUCAUUGGUUGGAGUUGUUGUAACAUAGUUGUUCAUUGGUUGGAGUUGUUGUAACAUAGUUGUACAUUGGUUGGAGUUGUUGUAACAUAGUUGUUCAUUGGUUGGAGUUGUUGUAUCAUAGGUGUUCAUUGGUUGGAGUUGUUGUAUCAUAGGUGUUCAUUGGUUGGAGUUGUUGUAACAUAGUUGUACAUUGGUUGGAGUUGUUGUAACAUUGUUGUACAUUGGUUGGAGUUGUUGUAACAUAGUUGUACAUUGGUUGGAGUUGUUGUAGCAUAGUUGUUCAUUGGUUGGAGUUGUUGUAACAUAGUUGUUCAUUGGUUGGAGUUGUUGUAACAUAGUUGUUCAUUGGUUGGAGUUGUUGUAACAUAG
rnacentral:lncRNA from 1 species